rnacentral:rRNA from 1 species
CAACUAGGAUGUUAGCUUAGAAGCAGCUAUUCAUUCAAAGAGUGCGUAAUAGCUCACUAGUCGAGUGACCCUGCGCCGAAAAUGUACCGGGGCUAAAACAAUUUACCGAAGCUGUGGAUAACACUUAGGUGUUAUGGUAGGAGAGCGUUCUAUGUGUGAAGAAGGUAUACCGUGAGGAGUGCUGGAACGCAUAGAAGUGAGAAUGCCGGUAUGAGUAGCGCAAGAUGGGUGAGAAUCCCAUCCACCGUAAGACUAAGGUUUCCAGGGGAAGGCUCGUCCGCCCUGGGUUAGUCGGGACCUAAGGAGAGACCGAAAGGUGUAUCCGAUGGACAACAGGUUGAUAUUCCU